GGGGAUUUAGCUCAGUGGUAAAGCGCUUGCCUAGCAAGCGCAAGGCCCUGGGUUCGAUCCCCAGCUCCA
rnacentral:tRNA from 1 species